rnacentral:rRNA from 1 species
GAUUAAGUGUCGUAAGGGCAUUUGGUGGAUGCCUUGGCAUGCACAGGCGAAGAAGGACGUGAUACGCUGCGAUAAGCCGUGGGGAGCUGCGAAUGAGCUUUGAUCCAUGGAUCUCCGAAUGGGGAAACCCACCUUAGAUGCUUGGAAAAUCCAAACUGAGUUUAGGCUCGGCUUGGGUUUCCAAGCAUUGUUAUAAGGUAUCUUACCUUCGAAUACAUAGGGGUAAGAAGCGAACGCAGGGAACUGAAACAUCUAAGUACCUGCAGGAAAGGACAUCAACCGAGACUCCGCAAGUAGUGGCGAGCGAACGCGGACCAGGCCAGUGGCAAUGCAGAAUAAAGUCGAACCAUCUGGAAAGUUGGGCCAUAGCGGGUGACAGCCCCGUAGACGUAGAACAUGCAUUGUCCUUGAGUAAGGCGGGACACGUGAAAUCCUGUCUGAACAUGGGGAGACCACUCUCCAAGCCUAAGUACUCGUGCAUGACCGAUAGCGAACAAGUACCGUGAGGGAAAGGUGAAAAGCACCCCGACAAGGGGAGUGAAAUAGAACCUGAAACCGGAUGCCUACAAGCAGUUGGAGGCCGCAAGGCUGACAGCGUACCUUUUGUAUAAUGGGUCAACGACUUAGUGUAACGAGCAAGCUUAAGCCGGUAGGUGUAGGCGUAGCGAAAGCGAGUCUGAACAGGGCGUUCAGUUCGUUGCAUUAGACCCGAAACCGAGUGAUCUAGCCAUGAGCAGGUUGAAGGUUGGGUAACACCAACUGGAGGACCGAACCCGCAUCUGUUGCAAUAGAUUGGGAUGACUUGUGGCUAGGGGUGAAAGGCCAAUCAAACUCGGAGAUAGCUGGUUCUCCGCGAAAUCUAUUUAGGUAGAGCGUCGACCGAAUACCCUCGGGGGUAGAGCACUGGAUGGGCUAUGGGGACUCACCGUCUUACUGAUCCUAACCAAACUCCGAAUACCGAGGAGUACUAGUCGGCAGACACACGGCGGGUGCUAACGUCCGUCGUGAAAAGGGCAACAACCCUGACCUCCAGCUAAGGUCCCCAAGUCAUGGCUAAGUGGGAAAGGAUGUGAGGAUCCCAAAACAACCAGGAUGUUGGCUUAGAAGCAGCCAUCAUUUAAAGAAAGCGUAACAGCUCACUGGUCUAAAUAAGGGUCUUUGCGCCGAAAAUGUAACGGGGCUAAAGCCAUGCACCGAAGCUGAGGAUGUGGAUUUAUCCACGUGGUAGCGGAGCGUUCCGUAAGUCUGUGAAGGGGGAUCUGUGAGGACCCCUGGAGAUAUCGGAAGUGCGAAUGUUGACAUGAGUAACGAUAAAGGGAGUGAGAGACUCCCUCGCCGAAAGACCAAGGGUUCCUGCUUAAAGUUAAUCUGAGCAGGGUUAGCCGGCCCCUAAGACGAGGCGGACACGCGUAGUCGAUGGGAACCACGUUAAUAUUCGUGGGCCUGGUGGUAGUGACGGAUUGCUUAACUUGUACAGUCUUAUUGGAUUGGCUGUGCAGGGACGCGGUUCCAGGAAAUAGCUCCACCGUACAGACCGUACCCGAAACCGACACAGGUGGUCAGGUAGAGUAUACCAAGGCGCUUGAGAGAACUAUGCUGAAGGAACUCGGCAAAUUGCACGCGUAACUUCGGAAGAAGCGUGACCCCUUUUGACGCAAGUCAGAUGGGGUGGCACAGACCAGGGGGUAGCGACUGUUUAUCAAAAACACAGGGCUCUGCGAAGUCGCAAGACGACGUAUAGGGUCUGACGCCUGCCCGGUGCUGGAAGGUUAAGAGGAGAGGUGCAAGCUUUGAAUCGAAGCCCCAGUAAACGGCGGCCGUAACUAUAACGGUCCUAAGGUAGCGAAAUUCCUUGUCGGGUAAGUUCCGACCUGCACGAAUGGCGUAACGACUUCCCCGCUGUCUCCAGCAUAGACUCAGUGAAAUUGAAUUCCCCGUGAAGAUGCGGGGUUCCUGCGGUUAGACGGAAAGACCCCGUGCACCUUUACUAUAGCUUUACACUGGCAUUCGUGUCGGCAUGUGUAGGAUAGGUGGUAGGCUUUGAAGCUUGGACGCCAGUUUGAGUGGAGCCAUCCUUGAAAUACCACCCUUAUCGUCAUG